AGUGGCGGACGGGUGAGUAACGCGUGAGAAUCUGCCUUGGGGUCGGGGACAACCACUGGAAACGGUGGCUAAUACCGGAUACGCCUUCGGGUAAAAGAUUUAUUGCCCUAAGAGGAGCUCGCGUCUGAUUAGCUAGUUGGUGAGGUAAGAGCUCACCAAGGCAGCGAUCAGUAGCUGGUCUGAGAGGACGAUCAGCCACACUGGGACUGAGACACGGCCCAGACUCCUACGGGAGGCAGCAGUGGGGAAUUUUCCGCAAUAGGCGAAAGCCUGACGGAGCAAGACCGCGUGAGGGAGGAAGGCUCUUGGGUUGUAAACCUCUUUUCUCAGGGAAGAAGCUCUGACGGUACCUGAGGAAUCAGCCUCGGCUAACUCCGUGCCAGCAGCCGCGGUAAUACGGAGGAGGCAAGCGUUAUCCGGAAUUAUUGGGCGUAAAGCGUCCGCAGGUGGCGAUUCAAGUCUGCUGUCAAAGCACGGGGCUUAACUCCGUAAAGGCAGUGGAAACUGAAUAGCUAGAGUGCCGUAGGGGUAGAGGGAAUUCCCGGUGUAGCGGUGAAAUGCGUAGAGAUCGGGAAGAACAUCGGUGGCGAAAGCGCUCUACUGGACGGCAACUGACACUCAGGGACGAAAGCUAGGGGAGCGAAUGGGAUUAGAUACCCC
rnacentral:rRNA from 1 species